CCAUUGGAGCUUGCUCCAUUGGUUUAGCGGCGGACGGGUGAGUAACACGUGGGCAACCUGCCCUGCAGAUCGGGAUAACUCCGGGAAACCGGUGCUAAUACCGAAUAGUUUGCGGCCUCUCCUGAAGCUGCACGGAAAGACGGUUUCGGCUGUCACUGCAGGAUGGGCCCGCGGCGCAUUAGCUAGUUGGUGGGGUAAUGGCCCACCAAGGCCACGAUGCGUAGCCGACCUGAGAGGGUGAUCGGCCACACUGGGACUGAGACACGGCCCAGACUCCUACGGGAGGCAGCAGUAGGGAAUCUUCCGCAAUGGACGCAAGUCUGACGGAACAACGCCGCGUGAGUGACGAAGGUUUUCGGAUCGUAAAACUCUGUUGUGAGGGAAGAACACGUACCAGGUAACUACUGGUACCUUGACGGUACCUCACCAGAAAGCCACGGCUAACUACGUGCCAGCAGCCGCGGUAAUACGUAGGUGGCAAGCGUUGUCCGGAAUUAUUGGGCGUAAAGCGCGCGCAGGCGGUCCUUUAAGUCUGAUGUGAAAGCCCACGGCUCAACCGUGGAGGGUCAUUGGAAACUGGAGGACUUGAGUGCAGAAGAAGAAAGUGGAAUUCCAUGUGUAGCGGUGAAAUGCGUAAAGAUGUGGA
rnacentral:rRNA from 1 species